CACAUUUGCACAGAUGCUGCUGCUAUAGUACUUUCAGGCAAGGCCAAGGCUUCUUGAAAGGCUGGUCAUGCCCCAGUGAUCAAUGAAGAACUCAGGGAUAUCCCAAAACUCAGGACUAUAAGGCACAAUGGGGGAGCAGGUACCAGGUGGCCAGCAUCCUAAAUGACUCUCAGCAGCUGCAGAGAGGACCAUAAUGGAUGGAUAUAUAGGCUGACGUAUAUCAGUUGGCUUCAGUUGUUUGGUGAUAUUCACCAGAUCUAUAUUUUGCUAUUUUAUGGAUAUUAUUUUCAAUUUCUGAGUUUUGUCUUUUCCAGAAUGCCGUACAGUUGAAAUCAUACGGUAUAUAGACUUUGCAGGUUUUUAUGCGGACAUGUUUUUUGACUCCUUUGGGCAAAUACCAAGGAGCAAGAUUGCUGGAUCAUAUGGAAAGAGGCAUUACCAUAUCAAAGCCUUUAGCCUUCUUGCAUCACGACAAAAAUUCGAACUUGGUGUUUGAAGAACAUGAAAAAUGAGGAGGAAUAAAAUAAUCAUGAGUCUCCUGGUCAUUAACUGCAUGAAGUUGAGCUGGUCACUUAAGCCAUUCCUAAUAUGUAACUUGAGAGUAUAGUAUUAGAUAUUCAGUAAAUUCCCUUCAAAAUUCAUGGUAUAGAAUGCUGGGGCCCUUCCAUUACUCCAUGCACUGGGGAAGAACUAGACUCCAAGAAAAGGCAGGCUGGCCUCUGUUUAGGUGUUGUCUGUGCUUGCAUUCCCAACGUUGACAUGAGGAAUUAUCAAUGGGUUCCGGACAUAAUCAGCCACACGGCAGAGUGAAUUCCAGGAGUGUAAAUAACAAGAGCUGCCUAUAAAUCUACCUCAGAAGACAAAGGGAAAAGCAAAACUCUGCCCAGGAAGACCUUACUUUACAAACCAGGUGACCAAAUUUCUAAAACAUCAUUCCCGUAAUCCCUGAUCAACAGAAAGGAAGCUCUGGAAGCAUGAAUGCUCAACCAUAUUUACCAGCCUUCCUGUGGUCAUUUGUCUGAGCUCCAGCUAGUGAAGUAUGAGUAGAACGGACAUGCACCACUUCCAGACCUGGCACCGGCAAACCCCCCAUGGCAACCCUCCAACCCUUUCCUCAACAACUGGACCACGCUGGAAAGGACUGAGGAUCUAGAGGAGGACAGGGCUGUAAUAUGGAAGGAGUUUGGUUUCUGAAGGACCAUGUAGCAGGCCACCUGCAGGGCGGGAACAUCUUUAAUAGGUUUGGAAUAGCAAGAAAUAAACUGGUCUUGUAUUAAACAACUAA
rnacentral:lncRNA from 1 species